rnacentral:misc_RNA from 1 species
GGUGACUGGCAACGGAAGCUC